GAUGAACGCUGGCGGCGUGCCUAAUACAUGCAAGUCGAGCGAACAGAUGAGAAGCUUGCUUCUCUGAUGUUAGCGGCGGACGGGUGAGUAACACGUGGGUAACCUACCUAUAAGACUGGGAUAACUCCGGGAAACCGGGGCUAAUACCGGAUAAUAUUUUGAACCGCAUGGUUCAAUAGUGAAAGACGGUUUCGGCUGGUACUUAUAGAUGGAACCGCCGCGUAUUAGCUAGUUGGUAAGGUAACGGCUUAACCAGGCGACGAUACGUAGCCGACCUGAGAGGGUGAUCGGCCACACCAGAACUGAGCCACGUUCCAGACUCCUACGGGAGGCAGCAGUAGUGAAUCUUCCGCAAUGGGCGAAAGCCUGACGGAGCAACGCCGCGUGAGCGAUGAAGGUCUUCGGAUCGUAAAGCUCUGUUGUUAGGGAAGAACAAAUUUGUUAGUAACUGAACAAGUCUUGACGGUACCUAACCAGAAAGCCACGGCUAACUACGUGCCAGCCGCCGCGGUAA
rnacentral:rRNA from 1 species